UUAAUUCCUCUUGCGCAAGAAAUACCAUGAGCUCCCGUGGUCUUCUUGCAGCAAUACGGAUUAAUUGCACUCUUGUGUUGAUAGUGGCAAGCGAUCAUUCGAAUGUUGAGCGGUCACGUGAGUUUUCAAUAUUACCUUGGAAGAAAAUAGACUGAGUAUUUUUUGCAAAUCCUAUCUAACAGUUGAGACUGAAUACUGGGGUUGUACAGGUCAUAAGGCAGUAUUUUGAACGAUCGGGUUGAACGAGGAAGAAGUGAAUUGAUUGAAGGUUGCAGAUUCCAGAAAGCAAACAGUGAUGGAAACUUGUGAUUUUGGAAAUCAGAACGCUCUGGUGCUUUCAAGCUAUCCGGCUAAUGGAAUAAUGAAAUUGGCGGUGGAAGAAAUCGCACAGGAAUGAUGGAAAAGUAUGAGCUUCGGGGAGGAGAACAGCAAUCGGCAUCUAAGCAUUUCGCAAUCUGAGUAUAAUUUUGACUCGUGCGUAUAUGGUUGGCAAACCAAAUUUGGCUUGGCAUUUUCAUCAAUUGAUCCGAUGUUAAAGAGGGGUCAUCAGGAUUUAUAUACUGAGCAAUUGCAGGCUGGUUAUCUACUAAAACAUUAGACCAGAUUUCAGCCAGUAGAUUUCCUGAAUGGACAAAGUUUAUCUUUUUUAGAUCGGCAUCUGUAGUUUUUCCGGACGAAUCUAGAUGGGAGCCAAAGUGGGUAUGAUCCAAAACUAAUCCAGCGUGCUCAAGGCUAAGUGGAGCCAUUUUUCUUUCAACUCGAUUGAACGCACUACGUCCAGGGGCCGUAUUCCGAACUUGGCUUGAUAUUCGAGGGAGAUUGGAUCCCAAGCUUGGAUUGAGUAAUCCUAAUCCUGACCAAGCCAAGCAAAGUUUGAAGAGAGAAUUCUAAACACGAAUUUAUUGUUGAUUGAGUUGGAUUGACAUUUUUGCUUGACUUGGACAAGCUUGGAAGGAGGGUCUUAUUUCGACCAAUCACGGAACGCGUUUCACGAGUUAUUAGCAGACGAAACUACAACACCAAAAAAAGUCAACACAACAAUUUUGGUCAGUUUGAAAAGUAGUGAGAAAUGGCUAGCAAUAACAAAGGAAAAGCUCUUAAGAAAUCAGUUAAUAAACUGAUAAGUGUUUGUGAAAGUUCAGUUUCAUUGAAAAACAGAAUUGAAUGGACUACCCAAGAAGAAAACUUAAACUUAACUUUAUUUUAUUGUCUAUUCUGCAUUUUAUCAGCUGCCUUUUAUUUUUUAGCACAUUCUCCAAGGUGCCCACGAUCAUGCUGUAAGAACAGAAGAAAAAACUAAGGCAUGGAAUGAGAUUCAUGAGGCAAUCAGUUUAGAGUUCCCCGAUGGUGAUCCAAAAAACUGUUCUCAAGUAAAGAAAAAAUGGGACAAUCUCAAUAGAGAAGCAAGAACUGAGAUUGCCAAGUAUACCUCAUCGAUAAGUGGGGCAGGAAGUUUAUUAUUCUAUCAGCAUAUUACAAUUUUACUUAACUUGAAACGUUAACCUAGGUGGAGGCCCUGAAUAUCAAUAUAAGGAACCGCUUCACAAAAAGAUUUUUGAAGAUGUCGUAGGAGUAAACAAUCCAGCAAUAGUUAAUGGAGGAAUCGAAGGAGGUGUAGAGAGUGAAACAGCUAGCAGUAGCUAGCAUAGCGUCAUAACAAGCGAUGGGAUUGUAGAUAUUACGGAUGAUGGGACCGUUGUUUCAAUCACUCCGACUCCAUCAAUGCCUGACAAAAUAUUAAUAACUGAAGGUGUUAGUUGCAACGGCCGCUCUACACCCAAAACUACACGAUCAACAAUGAGUGCGACGAAGAAGAAAAUUUUUCAGUUAAGUGACGAAAUUGGAAACAAACGACUGAAAAGGGAAAGAUUUAUGUAUUUAAACGUGUUGAGGGAAAGUAGAGCUCGUUUAGGGGUUCCUGUAACUAUGGAAGAAGUACAGUAUCCUGCACAAAAAUCCGAACACCGAUUUAAUUUUUUAAAGCCACCUAUUUGCGGAAAAAAGGGUUUUUAUUUGUUUUUCUUUAAUAGGGA